AUUGUGAUGUGAUGACAACUUCUUGAGCUAUAUAUUUUCUUGAGAACAUCAAUGAAGAAAACGUCUCAUCAAAUGAUUUGCACGUCAGUCUGAUCACAAG
rfam:TPA: Saccharomyces cerevisiae S288C chromosome XIII, complete sequence.